CUCCCAUGUACGAGUAUUCGUUGAGCACAUUGUAAAUUGCUUUAUUAAAAUCAUGGUUACGCGUUUCAUCAUUCUCUGCACUAUUCUAUUGCUCUAUUUGAGCAAUGCUAGCCCAGCAUGGUACAAGAAAACGCCGAAAACGCAGCAACCAAAGAAAGAUCGGCCAAAUGGUAAUGAACUACGAAUGCCAUACAUUAUCCCCAUACCAAGACCGGCAUCCCAACUCAAAAAACCACCUUACCGUCCUCCAGAAGAUAAUAAUGUGCAGCCUAUACUCGUACCCGACUUUGAUUGAUUAGAUUAAUUUUAAAUUGUAUAAUAACACCACUAGGUAUGUAGAUGUACAUAAAACAUUGUUUUUCUCUAACCACAUUUAAUAUAUCUAAACGGCUUCAAAAUAAUUAUCUCAACGAAUUUUAGAUACUCUUAUCAAAACCGUGCUCAAAUUUCGCUCCAAUUGUGAUGCUGAAAAAAUUUUGUAUGGUAGAAAUCCUUCUUCAAGGCAUAAGUUCUGCUGUUCGAACUAAAAAUUCAGUUUUUUUAAUUCACUAUAAAAAAAACAAGGGGAAAAAUCAUGCUGUUUGAUUCCCUUUUUCAAUCAUUUAAUUUUUUUUGUUAAUAAAGGGUAAUACCGGCCGAAAAUUCUGAAGAAAUUUUGAAAAAGUUCUGCUUCUAAUUUUUCAUUUUUUAUAGGCUAAGUUAUACUCGUACUUUUUUUUGGGGGGGGGGGAGAAAAUUAAAAAAUAUUUUGUUGAAAAUGUUCUGUGUUUAAAAUUAGAAAUUCAAUCACUUAAACUUUCUUUUGCAUGAAAAAGAUCCUGAAAAGGAAUUUUCUUGAAAUCAAGAAGGUCAAUGAACUCACGUUCAAGGUAUCAAGGUACCUAAUUAUAUUACAUAGUACAUACUAAUGUUAAUUUGAAUUAAAAUUAUGAAAACUUACCCGCAACAAUGGCAGAACAUCAUGAUGAUGAUGCAAACGAAGUUCAAAACUACGAAAACGAAAUUCGACGAUUGUUGAAUUAAAUCUUCGGAAGUUGAUAUGAAAUUAAAUUCGCGACAAAUCACCGCCGAAGCCAAACGAACUAAUCAACAGGGCUGAAGCAUAAAAAUAUUGAAUCAAAAAUAUGAAAUCACCAACUCUCAGUCGAGGGAGAACGAACUUAUCAAAAUUUGAAGAAAAUAUUUUUUGAGCAUGUUUGAGAAUUUGAAGCCCAAAAUUUGGUCUAGAUUUUCCGUAUUUUUGAAAAACAUGCCAUGCGACUUAUCAAUAUGGGUCAAAAUUUUGGACAGAAAAUCUGACGUUGAGCCCAAAAUUGGGUCACGAUUUUUGAAGUUUUUGAAAAAAAAUUCCAUGAGAUCUAUCAACUUAUUUGAGUUGAAAUUUUGGACAGAAUAAAAAAAAUUCUCAUAACAACUUUUUUUUAGACUUUUUGAAGAAUUCUGAACCCGAAACUAGAUCUGGCAUGAUUGGCUUAUCAGAGUGGCUUAAAAUUUCGGCAGAAAAUCAAACCUUUUUCAAAAAUCGUACUCCAAUUUUAGACCAAUAUUUUUCAAAAAAUUUUCAAAAUCGAAUUUUUUGUGAACUUUUAACUCAUUUUGAUAUUUAGCUUUCAUGAUAACUUUUUCGAAAAACCAAAAAAUCGUGACCCAAUUCUAAGCUCACAAAGAACUAAAGUUCUAACGGAAAUUUUUGAUUUUUUUUCAAAAUUCAAACUCUGUAAUAACUUCUUUAAAAAUCCAGAAAAUCGUAACCAAAUUUAGAGCUUAAAAUUCUCAAAAAUACUCCCAAAAAAAUUAUCGUUGAAAUAUUCGAAUUUUUCGUGAAAUUUUAAUCUACUUUGAUAUGUCGAACGAUACAUUUUCGGAAAUCUCGAAUCUCAUUACUUAAUUUUGGGCUCAAAAUACUUCAAAAAUGCUGGAAAACAUUUUCGUUAAAGUAAUUCGAAUUUCUAGUGAAAGUUCAACUCAUUUUGAGACGUUGCAUGGCACAUUUUUAAAACACCUCUACAAUCAUAACCCAUUGAGGGGACUUACAAUUCUUCAAGAAAGCUCAAAGAAAGUUCCGAUGGAAAUUUCUAAUUUGCUGCCAAAAUUCCAAAUUAUUUCGAUAAGUCGCAUGAUACUUUUUACGAAAAUUCCUAAAAUUACAAUCCAAUUUUAAGCUUAAAAAUUUUUCAAAAAUACUCAAAAAACAUUUCCGUUGAAAUAUUUGAAUUUAUCUCGAAAUUUUAACCUAUUCUGAUAUGUCGCUUGACACAUUUUCAGAAAUUCCAAAAAUCACGACCCAAUUCUGCGCUAAUUUAUUCUUCAAACAUGUUCAAAGAGCAUCGUCAAAAAUUCUAAUUUCUCGCAAAAUUUAACCUAACUAAUUUCGAUAAUGGUUGAAUCAAAUCUGACCAAACAGAUGUGAUCCGUUUUCCGAAUAUCAGGCUUAGAAAAAUUUCCAAAGUAAAUUCCCUCUUGAAAAAAAAAAAAAAAAAAAAAAAAAAAAAAACGUUGAAAAAACCUCUCAAAAAACCCAUCUCAGUGAAAGCUUUUUUAUUCUCAAGAAAUAACAUAAUAAUAAUUAUUGUCUAAUGUCUAUGUGAACAAUCUUAAAAACAACAUAGAAACCUGCACUUUCAAUUCCCAGGUAACAUGUUUUAGAAAAAAAAAAAAAUCGAUAAAAAAAUUCGAAAAAAAUGGAUGGAGCAUCGAGAGCGUCUUGC